rnacentral:misc_RNA from 1 species
GAUGAAGAACGUAGCGAAAUGCGAUAAGUAAUGUGAAUUGCAGAAUUCAGUGAAUCAUCGAAUCUUUGAACGCACAUUGCGCCCCCUGGUAUUCCGGGGGGCAUGCCUGUCCGAGCGUCAUUACAACCCUCAAGCUCAGCUUGGUGUUGGGCCCCGCCGCCCCGGCGGGCCCUAAAGUCAGUGGCGGUGCCGUCCGGCUCCGAGCGUAGUAACUCUUCUCGCUCUGGAGGUCCGGUCGUGUGCUCGCCAGCAACCCCCAAUUUUUUUCAGGUUGACCUCGGAUCAGGUAGGGAUACCCGCUGAACUUAAGCAUAUCAAUAAGCGGAGGA